AGUAGAGUGGCUGAGGUUAAUAAGUGGUAGAUUGUAAAUCUAUAAAGGGGUGUUUGCCCUUCUACUA
rnacentral:tRNA from 1 species